rnacentral:rRNA from 1 species
GACGAACGCUGGCGGCGUGCUUAACACAUGCAAGUCGAACGGAAAGGCGCUGCUUUUGUGGGGCGCGCGAGGGGCGAGCGGGUGAGUAACACGUGAGUAACCUGUCCUUGACUUUGGGAUAACUUCAGGAAAAUGGGGAUAAUACAGGAUAGGAGCUCCUGAUGCAGGGGGGGGGAUGGAAAGUGCCGGCGGUAUGGGCUUGUCUAGCGGCUUAUGAGCUUGUUGGGGGGGUAGUGGAUGACAAAGGCUUUGACGGGUAGCCGGCCUGAGAGGGUGGCCGGCCACCAUGGUACUGCGAUACGGCCCAGUCUGCUACGGGAGGCAGAAGUGGGGAAUAUUGCACAAUGGGCGGAAGCCUGAUGCAGCGACGCCGCGUGCGGGAUGACGGCCUUCGGGUUGUAAACCGCUUUCGCCUGUGACGAAGCGUGAGUGACGGUACUGGGUAAAGAAGCACCGGCUAACUACGUG